GGGGAUAGGACAGAUAGGACAGACUGGUCCCCAAAACACAGCCCAGCCACUGGAUGGAGAAACUCAAGCAGGAGAAGUGGAACAAGAGCAAAAGGCAGCUAAAACUCGACCAGAAUGCCAAACACGUCUUUGCAGGGCAGCCAUGUGGCAGAUUUCAAGGGAAAGACAUCUAGAACCAAGAGCGACAAUCCCAAUCCAAAGACAGAUUCCAAGAAGUCAGAGGCUGGAUCCCAUUUAGACACAGCUAGUUCCAAGGAAGAGUCGCUGUUGGCGGAAGUGGAGAUCAUCUGGACCACUACUUGAACCAGUGGGAGCAGCCGGAGAGAACGGAAAGGUUGUUAGAGGACCGGGAAGGGAAUAAGUAUGGGGACGCCCAGCUGAGCAUCCGCUCCUUCCUGGAGGCCUGCAUCUUCAACGAGGACGUGGAGAGAGCCCAACACUGCCUCAUGGACUACCACUGCAACCUGAGCCGAAGCAAGCAGCUCUUCAUCAACAGCUACAACAUCAUGAUGCACGUCUGGGCCAAGAAGGGCUCUCUGGGUCACAUCGGCCGGCUCUUCGUUCUCGUGGAGGAGGCAGGCUUGAAGCCAAACCUGGAUUCCUACGUUGCAGCUCUGUAGUGCAUGGGCCGCAGCCCUCACUGCUCCAGUCGGGUCAUCAGCAGGUGUUUUCAGCAGCUUGAAGGGGACGCUUCUCCAUCGAGGACCUCUUUAAGCAGUGUGAUUUCCAGGAGGAUGAGCGGGAGAUGGUCCUGAAGGCAGUGCAGACCGUUCAUCCAGACUUCCUGCCACAUGCGGACGCAGAGAUGAAGAUCUGCUCUUCCCCCUUAGUCCACGCCUUCUAUACAAAGAGAACCCGUAGCUGGAUUUCCCCCUGGCAGAGCUGGGUGAGCGCUUCAGCAGGCAGCUGGCGAUGGAGCAGGCGGGUGGCGUCACCAUUGAGUCUGUGGAGGCCUCCAAGCCUCUGACUAAACACAUGAUCCAAAUGGUACCGCAGAACACUCCACAUGCACACACAAUUCAAUAAGAGGGAGCUUCUGGCUCAGUUGCGCUCACACUGGCACCAGUCUCUCCUGCAAGCCUUCCGCGAGAGCAAGAUAGGGAGCAGCGAGCAGAAGAGCUGGAGGAUGAACCUCUACCCCUGCCUCUGCCUGCUGGAGGACAAGGAGUACGUGCAGAUCAUGCUGCAGGUACAGAAGUCCA